rnacentral:rRNA from 1 species
AUUGAACGCUGGCGGCAGGCCUAACACAUGCAAGUCGAACGAGUGGCGGACGGGUGAGUAAUGUCUGGGGAUCUGCCUGAUAGAGGGGGAUAACUACUGGAAACGGUAGCUAAUACCGCAUACUAUCGGAUGUACCCAUAUGGGAUUAGCUAGUAGGUGGGGUAAAGGCUCACCUAGGCGACGAUCCCUAGCUGGUCUGAGAGGAUGACCAGCCACACUGGAACUGAGACACGGCCCAGACUCCUACGGGAGGCAGUAGUGGGGAAUAUUGCACAAGGGGCGCAAGCCUGAUGCAGCCAUGCCGCGUGUAUGAAGAAGGCCUUAGGGGUGUAAAGUACUUUCAGCGGGGAGGCGUUACCCGCAGAAGAAGCACCGGCUAACUCCGUGCCAGCAGCCGCGGUAAUAC